AGAGUUUGAUCCUGGCUCAGGAUGAACGCUGGCGGCGUGCCUAAUACAUGCAAGUCGAACGGAGAUUGUAGCAAUACGGUCUUAGUGGCGAACGGGUGAGUAACGCGUUGGCAACCUGCCCCGAAGUGUGGGAUAACGGUCCGAAAGGGCCACUAAUACCACAUGUGAUCCCGAGGAACAGAUACUUGGGAUGAAAGGAGCGAUUCGCUUCGGGAGGGGCCUGCGUCCCAUCAGCUAGUUGGUAAGGUAACGGCUUACCAAGGCGAUGACGGGUAGGGGACCUGAGAGGGUGGCCCCCCACAAUGGAACUGAAACACGGUCCAUACACCUACGGGUGGCAGCAGUAGGGAAUAUUGGUUAAUGUGCGAAAGCGCGAACCAGCAACGCCGCGUGUGCGAUGAAGGCCUUCGGGUCGUAAAGCACUUUUUGCAGGGAAGAGGAAGGACGGUACCUGCAGAAUAAGUCUCGGCUAACUACGUGCCAGCAGCCGCGGUAAAACGUAGGAGACGAGCGUUAUCCGGAUUUACUGGGCGUAAAGCGCGUGCAGGCGGCAUGGCAAGUUGGAUGUGAAAGCUCCCGGCUUAACUGGGAGAGGUCGUUCAAUACUGCCAGGCUUGAGAGUGGUAGAGGGAAGCGGAAUUCCGGGUGUAGUGGUGAAAUGCGUAGAUAUCCGGAGGAACACCAGUGGCGAAAGCGGCUUCCUGGCCCAUUUCUGACGCUCAGACGCGAAAGCUAGGGUAGCAAACGGGAUUAGAGACCCCGGUAGUCCUAGCCGUAAACGAUGUGAACUUGGCGUUGGCGGGUUUAAAUCCGUCAGUGCCGUAGCUAACGCGAUAAGUUCACCGCCUGGGGACUACGGCCGCAAGGUUAAAACUAAAGGAAUUGACGG
rnacentral:rRNA from 1 species